rnacentral:rRNA from 1 species
AUUGAACGCUGGCGGAAUGCUUUACACAUGCAAGUCGAACGGUAGAGGGGGCAACCCCUCGAGAGUGGCGAACGGGUGAGUAAUAUAUCGGAACGUGCCCAGUCGUGGGGGAUAACGUAGUGAAAAUUACGCUAAUACCGCAUACGAUCUAAGGAUGAAAGCGGGGGAUCGCAAGACCUCGCGCGAUUGGAGCGGCCGAUAUCAGAUUAGGUAGUUGGUAGGGUAAAGGCCUACCAAGCCAACGAUCUGUAGCUGGUCUGAGAGGACGACCAGCCACACUGGAACUGAGACACGGUCCAGACUCCUACGGGAGGCAGCAGUGGGGAAUUUUGGACAAUGGGCGAAAGCCUGAUCCAGCCAUUCCGCGUGCAGGAUGAAGGCCCUCGGGUUGUAACUGCUUUUGUACAGAACGAAAAGGUCUCUAUUAAUACUAGGGGCUCAUGACGGUACUGUAAGAAUAAGCACCGGCUAACUACGUG